GAUGAAGAACGCAGCGAAAUGCGAUACGUAGUGUGAAUUGCAGAAUUCAGUGAAUCAUCGAAUCUUUGAACGCACAUUGCACCUCUCGGUAUUCCGGGAGGUAUGCCUGUUCGAGCGACAUUUGUACCCUCAAGCUCUGCUUGGUGUUGGGUGUUUGUUCCGCCUCUGUGUGUGAACUCGCCUCAAAACAAUUGGCAGCCGGCGUACUUGUUUCGGAGCGCAGCACAUUUUGCGAUCCAGAUCAACGUACAGCGGCAUCCAAGAAGCCUUAUUUAACGCUCUUGACCUCGGAUCAGGUAGGGAUACCCGCUGAACUUAAGCAUAUCAAUAAGCGGAGGA
rnacentral:misc_RNA from 1 species